UAGCUGCUUAUGAAUAUAAUUGGGCUGAGUGAAAUUCAUCUUUCUUAGCGGUGAAUGAGUCUUUGACUUACUGGUGAAUAAGUUUUAGACAUACCUGCUUUGUAUAGUACAUUUGUCUGGUUCAUUCCCAUGUCCUACGCUGAUGCAAGUCUUCUGUAAAUUGUUUGUAGGCGCAAACCAUUGUCACAGCUCAGGCGGAUGCAGCAGGCAAUAAGAAGAAUGUUUGAAUAAAAAGCAGGUAUGUUGAGGGUGACUUUGAUGCGUGAUGGGCGCUGGUGCUGCGGUCCACACCCAGAUCGAUCCGCUAAGGAACUGCCCCACAUCCAGAUCGAUGCCGCCCAAGAGCAAAAUCUGAAGAACAAGGUGUUAUCUCUCUUUCUCUCUUCGUAGUAGCAAUGAGUUGAUCAUGCUCAGGGCAUUUUGGGCCUUUUCCAAUUGAUCAUAUGCUAUUCUUUCAGUAUUUUCUGCUUUAGCUAAAGAUUGCAGGUUGUUGUCUACCGCAGGGGUCAUCACAGCACUGGCCUCCAUUCUUGCUUCAUUGAGUUGCCCAUCAAUGCUUAUUAGCGCAAUGCAGAGGCCUAAAAGACUAUUGAUAGGAUGACAAUAGGAGGACAAGAGAUGCCACAUUACCAAACCGGCCCUCCUCAGCCUCUUAUUUGGCAAGGAUCUGCAGGCAAGAAUGAACGCCCUCCAGUUUAGUUGCUUACAAGGCCCAUUGAUGUGGGAGACAAUAACCCCCUGGGACCAUACGAGUACAUGGCUCCAGCUUCACGUUAGGUAUGCAUAUUGAAUUUUAGUUUCAGGGGCCACUAAGUUAUCAGGUUCUUAUAAAUUCAGUUUCUAUGAUCUCUUUGGCCUUUUAGUAUGGAUGUGGCGAUCGGCUUGGAUUUUCAAACAGAUCUGAGAUUAAAAAUGAUUGUUUGCAUUUUUACGUAAGAGGAUUAUCAAAGAAGGAUGUUUCCUUAUAAACAAACCGUCCAUUCAAAAUACGUAGCCUUGCAGCUUUCUUUUGCUCUACGUGUGAAUAGAAUCCGUCGGAGCUACUCCCUGAUGGCCAGAUUUACUUUUGAAUGCCCGUACUGCUUGCAGCGGAUGAUGUUCACAUGUUUGUCUAUCAGCCAUGGUGAACCUGGUCUGAUCAUCCGACACUUUUUAUGCAACGUUGUUGCCUACAUGACCAUGUUGUUAAACCUUGACUAAAUUUCAGUAAAAUGUACCCAGGAAUUCAAUCAGCUAUGUUAUGUAAUAUACUUAGCACAGUAUUGUGUUAGAUGAACCUGUACAUGUUUUUAUCUAUCUAUGCUGGGAUUUAUGCUACGACAUUAAACUUAUAUGCUCUCCA